rnacentral:ncRNA from 2 species
GACAAUAUUAGAGGUAGCGAUGCAGAUAAGUAUGUAUUGGAGCUUGCAGGCUUUGAAGAUACAAAAAGGCAACCAUCGCCGAACGGUAAAAACCGCAAAUUUUUACUGUGGGGUUAUAGGAAAUACCUAUAACACUCCUUCCUUAGUGAAGUGGAGCUAGACUAUCC